GUAGGUGAACCUGCGGAGGGAUCAUUACCGAGUGAGGGCCCUCGCGCCCGACCUCCAACCCUUUGUCGAUUAAUAUCUGUUGCCUCGGGGGGCGACCCGGACGUCCGCGGCCGGGAGUCCCCCAGAGGACCAAUCAACUCUGCAUCUUUGCGUCGAGUAUUGAAUACAAAUCAAUCAAAACUUUUAACAACGGAUCUCUUGGUUCUG
rnacentral:misc_RNA from 1 species